AGUGAGAAUUUAUGUGUGGGACUGGGGUAUCAGAGGAGCCAACAAGCCCCUGGGAGUCAGACUAACUCUCAUGGCAGAAGCUGCAGACAGGAGUGAACAGGAGCCUCAGAGUAAGCAGAGGAAGCUGGUCAGGGCUUGGGAAACAUCGCAGGAGGCCUUUUGGAAUUAACAAGAAACAGUGUCAUGUCAUAUCUGUGUCACUGACGGUUACUGAACCACUCCUUGUUCCAGAUGACUCAUCUGGAAGCAGUAGCCCAUGCACUGCCAGAUUACCAGGGAGCCACAACCAGGACCUGCCUAGCGUGGCCACUCACCACGCUGCAUUUUCCAUAAAUGUGAAUCCCCUUCUCUUCUGAAUGAGAAGCGAGGUGGGUCUGGAGUCCAGAAGCCACAUUACAGAUGUUGUGGGAAAUAUAAAUAUGCCUGUUAGCUUUUGGCCACAGGCUGCCCAGCAAUAUGCCCAUUUGAGUUUUCCCACAGAAAUGCUGCUGCCAAGUUCUCAGUGUGCAUGUUACUGUGUCCCCACAGCUUCAGUGGAUGAGGAGAAGGGGUGAGGAUGACAGCAUCAUGAUUGAAGUAUAAAACGAAGACAGAUUUAUGCUUUUAAAGUCAACUUACUUACCAGGUUAAGGUUGUAAAAUUGUUUUGAUGUAUGACAGCUUUCCACCUAUUUUUCACCCUAUGAUGGGUAUGGAAGUUCACUUCACUGCCCCACGAUACACUUACUUUUUGCUUUGGAAGGUGUAAUUGCAAAAUGAGUACCAGACAAGGAGGUAAAGUCUCCAUGAAGAACAAAGAGUUUUAAAAAAUACUUAUUUUUACUUUGUAUAUGUGGCAUUUUGCCUGAAUGUAUGUAAGUGAACCGGGUGUGUUCCUGUAUCCGCCAGAAGCAGAAAACUAUACUGGAUCCCCAGGAACUGGAGUUAUCAGUAGUUGUGAAUACCCAGUGCUUGCUGGGAACUGAACCUGGUUUCUCUGCAAGAUCCGUAAGUGCUUUUAGCCU
rnacentral:lncRNA from 1 species